GAAAAGUGGGGAGCGGGAGCAGGGCUAAGACGGCGGAGGGGGGGUUUAGCCGGAAGUAUUGUGUGUAAAGGGUUCGUAGGAGGCUUUGUAAGGCAGGAGUGAAAUUGCCUAGCUUAACUAGGACACUGCCAUUGAUAGUGCAGAGCUUGAAUAAUAUGGAAGUAACUAGAAUAUGUAGUGUAGCGGUGAAAUGCUUAGAUAUUACAUGGAAUACCAAUUGCGAAGGCAGGUUACUACGUACUUAUUGACGCUGAUGAACGAAAGCGUGGGGAGCGAACAGGAUUAGAUACCCCUGUAGUC
rnacentral:rRNA from 1 species